rnacentral:rRNA from 1 species
GCGUUGCCCGGAUUUAUUGGGCGUAAAGGGCGCGCAGGCGGCGACGCACGUCCGUUGUGAAAUCGCUCGGCUCAACUGGGCGGGGUCAGCGGAUACGGCGUGGCUUGAGCAAGCUGGGGGGCAAUGGAAUUCCCGGUGUAGUGGUGGAAUGCGUAGAUAUCGGGAGGAACACCAGUGGCGAAGGCGGUUACCUGGAGCUUUGCUGACGCUGAGGCGCGAAAGCGUG